GAAAAGAAAAAAGGAAAGGAUAAAGGAAAAGAAAAGAGAUCGAAAAAUGGGUUAAGAUCUCCAUCUCCCUCUUCUUCCUCUUCUGCCUCUGCCUCUUCUUCUUCUUCUUCUUCCUCCUCCUCUUCUUCUUCUUCUUCUUGCUCUUCAAAGGGAGGAAACUUGGAUAAGAUGA
rnacentral:RNase_P_RNA from 13 species